rnacentral:rRNA from 1 species
GUAGGUGGCAAGCGUUGUCCGGAAUUAUUGGGCGUAAAGCGCGCGCAGGCGGUUCUUUAAGUCUGAUGUGAAAGCCCACGGCUCAACCGUGGAGGGUCAUUGGAAACUGGAGAACUUGAGUACAGAAGAGGAAAGCGGAAUUCCACGUGUAGCGGUGAAAUGCGUAGAGAUGUGGAGGAACACCAGUGGCGAAGGCGGCUUUCUGGUCUGUAACUGACGCUGAGGCGCGAAAGCGUGGGGAGCAAACAGGAUUAGAUACCCUGGUAGUCCACGCCGUAAACGAUGAGUGCUAAGUGUUAGGGGGGUUUUCCCGGUCCCCCCCGUUAGUGCUGCAGCUAACGCAUUAAGCACUCCGCCUGGGAGUACGGCCGCAAGGCUG